GAGCUCGUUAAUUGGAUUUCAGCACUCGCUUUGAAGGGUUUCGCUGGUGUGCAAUCUUGCCCCGUGUCCUAACAUCCUGCAUUUUUUCGUUCCUAUAUCAUGCUCCUAUUGCCAUAACGAUAUUUUUUUUCUACUCUCGCCUAUUGUCCUUGACUUACUAUCGUGAAUUUUGAUAUUUUUAUUUUUCAUUCAUAUCAUUUUUUUAAAAUUUGUUACCGCCACAUUUUAAUAUUGCUCCUUAGGAAACGCAAUACGAGAAAUCGUGUAGUUGUGGAAAUAUGUUCAGCUGUGAAUGUGUUUAUAUUGUAAGUGUGCGGAAGUGUCAGUAGUUAGUUCUUGAUGGAUAAUAUACAGAAGUAGCCCCUGGAAUGGAGAAUUUGUUCAAGUCCCUUCGAUAAAAAUUCUGCAGUGCGGGCGGCAUGACCGCCGGAGUGAAGGCGCCGUGGGGAGCCCUCCUCGCCCUCGCGCUGGCGUGCGCCGCAACCACCGGGAGUGAGGAUGACUGCGCAAUCGCCCCGCCUUUCCACCACAUCCCUGGUACCUACACCGUCACAGGGAUAUUCGACAUUCAUCACGGAGCGAACUGCAGUCAGGUUAACGAAAAUGGUUUUGCCAUGAUGACGUCAGCUAUACACACAAUCCGGCUGCUUAAUGACAUUCAAUACAUUCCUGGAGUUGACGUAGGCCUGCUCAUCUACGAUACUUGUUCGAAACAUGAAGAGGCCCAGAAAGCGGUCGUCCAAUCACACGUCAUGAAUGAGUGCACAUUAUCCGUCAGCCUAGGAAUCCUCACAACGGCGAGAAUAGCGGAGGAGUUGAAAAAUUUAUCGCAAGCGCUGCAACUGAAUCUGAGCGUGGUGCCUGAACCGGUGGACACCCAAGUCCUUAUCGAUUCCACCGUUGAGCUCCUCACAGUCCUGGGAAAGAAAGUCGUUGACGUCAUCAUCUCAGACGAUGUGGAUUUUUCACAAGGACUCGUGAGCGCUAUCACGAAAAGGAAAAUUUGCGUGAAAAAAACUACCGAUAUGGAUACUGCUGAGGACCUGAAAAUAACAUCAAGCGAUGGGUUUCUGAUAAUCGCAGGAUCAGCUCAAUACAUUCAAUCUAAAUUAAAACACUUCCCGAGGCUCACAAACUGUAUUUUGGUUCCACUUGCUGGUCGACUAAACAUGUCAGAGGUCGCUUUCAUCAAGAACCACCACAUCAUGUCCAUCGAGAACUCGAUAUUCCGAGUCCGAAGCGCCAACAACUCCCGAACGCACCGCGAUGCCGAUCACUCCGAGCUACCGGAAACCACCGAGGGAACCGGAAACGACUCGCCGGAAACCGCCGGACCGGAAACGGGCUCGUCGGAAACCUUCCUCGGACACGGGAACAGCAACCGGCAGAAGUUCAACGAGGUCCUCUCCAAGUCCGAGAUCAACAAGGUGGACAAGUUGCGGAUCCUCUUCGAGCUCCUCCACAACGGAGGGAUGAAGAACCUCGACGAUAUCAUCCACGUCGAGGAGGAACAGGAAGCAGAGACGACCGGAAAUGCCGACGAUUCGGCGGAAAUGGACGUGACGUCGUCGCAGGAAGUGACGGUGUCGGAGGCCUCACAGGACGCGACGUCGUCGCAGGAAGUGACGUCAUCGGGAGAUGAUGACCGGAAAUCGACUGCGGGAGAGAUGACUGGGGGGUCAUCGGUGGAGGACAGUCAAGAAUCCACCGUGACUCACGAUGAGGGUGUGACCAGCGGAGCUGAAGAGACAUCGACCUCGGAUGAUGGGAAGGCGACUUCGGAAGCACAAAGCACACACUCAUCUGCGGAGCCGACUGAAAAAGCCGACCAGAAACCGCACGACGAACCGGAAGUGGUGGAACAAAACCUACACAACGUGGAUAUCCAGAAGUCCACGGAGGCCCAUUUCCGGAAUCCACCGGAAGUGAUCGACCGGAAACACUCGGAAGAAGACGACGGAGAAAGCGUGGACAGCACAAUCUACAGACAGGUAGAGAAGCCGCGGAUAUACUACAUCAACACGAUCAGGAUGGAGCCGCCACCGGAAGUGGUGCAAGCGGAGCGGACCGCCAAGCGACUGCCCAAUUCGGCAACGCACGCGACGGAAAUCCGCCUCGAGAUCACCGCCAGAGUCAUCACGAACGGAAGUUCCAGGGAGGUGGAGAUCAAAGAGAUAGAACCCGUCGAGGACCAGAUUGCCGAAGAGACCGUCGACUCACCGGAAAUCUUGCCACCUAGUGGCAUCUCCGGCGUCGAAGACAUCACAGAAUCCGCCACAGAAGAAGUCGAAGUGGAUAUGCAGACGACCCCUCUUAUCGAUCUAGAUGGCGUAACCACCGAGUCAACUUUGACCACCAUGGACGAUAAAGAGUACAUAGAGGACUCUCCCAUAGAGUCCUCCGAUCCCGCUGACAAAUUCCGUGCGUUCUUCAGCGAGGACACGGAGUUGAUCAAGAUCAACCUGGGGUUGAUCCGGGUCGCGCGGAGCGUCAUCAAGAUGAUCGAGCAGUUCAAAAUGGACUUCAACAUCCGAUGCUUCUACGAGACGCACAACAGCUCGUGCGGGGGCAAAUCGGAGCGUACCGCGGUGACGUCAACCAGCAGCCUCGACGAGGAGAUCGCGAGCGUGGCGCGGCUCCUCAAGUUCGAGAAGAACGUCCUGAUCAAUGGCCUGAACGUGGAAAGUGCCUACGGUGAGAUCCUCUUCGAGUUCAACUUCGACGCCGAGCACAGCGAAUGGUACAUGAGCAAGAACGGGAGGGAGGUCCAACCCAACGCGACGUCUUACAAUAUCUGCGCCAUCACCAACUGCUCCGAGUGCGUGAAUUUUCAGCCAGAGGUCGUGACGAGCGGGAGACGGAUUUGGGAAUUUUUGAAGCGGCUCAGCGUCAAAACCGAUGUCUACGUUGUUGUUCUGUUGACGAUAUCGGUUAUUGGGAUUAUUCUGAGCUUGUGCGUCGGGACAUUCAUCGUCGUUAGGAUAUUGAAAAAGGAUAUUCUGGAAGGCAACCCUCUUCUCACCAUGCUCUUGUUGCUGGCUGUGAUCUUUACCUAUUGUGCGGUCUUGCCCUUCGUUCUGAAGGUCACCGAUGACGGGGAUCUCGCCUACAGCACCCUCCCUCAAAACGAGGAAGUCUUCAUCUACCAUAAGUCGUCGGAGAGCGUCCUGUACGUGCAGAACAUUCUGUGUCUGGCAAAGAUCAUCAUGAUGAGCACGAGUUUUAACCUCCUUUUCGGCAUCAUCCUCGCUCGGAGUCUCAUGUUAUCCAACUGCGAUCGGGAUGGGUCCUUCUUGAGUCACAUUGACGGAUAUAUUCAGGUAACGCUGCUGUUCUUCAUCCUCCUGGUCCAGAUCUGCGUCAACGUGGAGCUCUACAUCUUCAACGCCCGCUACGACCUGAAGAUCUGCAUCGAGAACUCCAACAUGUCCCUCUACUUCCAGAUCUACAACACCUUCCUCCUCAUCCUCUGCAUCAUCACCGCCCCGUUCAUCUACAAGUCCCGGCGCAACUACAACGAGGGCCUCUACCUCACCAUCGUCGUCAUCUUCCUCGCCAUCGUCUGGUUCGUCUGGAUCUCCAUCUACCAGUUCUACGACCCCUCCACCACCGGGAUCCCGAACAUCAAAGAGAUGGCAGCGCUCUCUGGACUCGUCGCGUCGGCAACAGGCGUCCUCAUACUCAUCUUCAUCCCGCGCACGUAUCUGAUGCUCACCGGCAUCGUGCGGGAUAAUAUUACGGCGUCGUUGCCCACGUUGGGUUUCACCAAUUCCUCGAGUGUUUUGGACGUGACCCAGUACAGGUCCACGCAGGCGCUGUACGAUACGGUGGGCCAGGGGAACACGAUCAAAUCGGGGCAGAUGAACCCCAAUUAUUACAUGGAGCGCCCGACGACCCCUUCCACGUCCAAGUUGGAGCCGACCACGUCAAGGACGCCGGAGAACACCUAUGAAAGGUAUGGAACCCCGCCGUCACCGUUGAAAGUCACCAGGUUUUAAAUGGAUUUUCAGGGUUGUCCAGGCGGACUUUCCCAUGGACUACGGGCAGGUCAAUGAAAGAGAUAAGGGACUAUGCACCGUGGAAAUCUUCCCGAAAGAAUCAUUCCAAACUUUAUAACAGACUUUACAAAACAGUGAUAUUGCUGCAGCUGGCAGCAGAUUCGAUGCAACAUUUCUUCAAUCAUAUCACGUCCUUAUUUUACACAAAUAUCUCUCUCGUGAUGCAAAGCCUUCGGGACUUAGUAUGAAAUUUUGGGAAUCCUCGGGAUUGAUAGAAGAAAAAUUAUUGUUGUUGCUAAACAAUGUCCAACUAUGAAAGUUCACUCCUUUUUUCGUCCCUACUUAGUGAUUUUCCCCACGUAACUACAUUUCAAUGCUGCCAAAUUUUCCGUUGCAAAUUGCAAUUUCACCUGUAAUUUUUGGGCCCUUCCAACUAAAAAUUUCACUGAUUAUUCAUCCGAUCUCAUGCAAAAAUCAAAGAAUUUUUGACAAAACUUUUACAGGUAUAUUCUUAUAAAUAAUAGAAUUGUUAGAAACAAUUUUGUAGCUUUGGAAUGUGGUUACAUUCCUUCGUUCGAGAAAGCGACGAAGUGAGGCGAAAUAACGAACAGAACUCAAGUCGUUUUUACCAUGGAGCGGGAGUAAAUCUGCAAGGGGGGCGUCGGGCAAAUUUUCCUGCUCCCUGCAUUUUAAAAUUCACUAUUUAACCGGCAUAUUUUGAUAAACUUUAGGUAAUGUUUUCAGAUUUUUUCAAGUUUUGGAGGCUUUCUUCUCUUUAGGAAUUUUUUUUCCAGCCGACAACCUUUUCCAAUUCCUGAAUCAAUUUUAGUCUGCCUCGCUCGGGAAAUACAGAACGUCGGAAGAGGAGUGUGGAAGGGAGGGGGCGGGGGCGGAAGGCUUUCCUCAGAAAAUUUUUGACAUUUCAAAGCAUCUAAUAUGUAGCGUGAGUCAGUAUCGUCAUGAAUGUUUACCAAAUAUAGGCAUCCUUCCUUCUGUUUUCGUUCGUUCCAUCCCCGUUUCUUUCUCCCCCUUUCCCCCUCAAUUUUUGGGGGUCAAGCGGGGAAGGGGGUACGCCCUCUACACCCCCCCUCUUGGAUCCGCCCACGUUCAGUGGCGGAUCCAGCAAUUUGGCAACACCGGAUUGCCUCCAUUUAAACCUAUGCUAAAUGAUCGAUUCUUGUCGGAGCACCUGGCCCCUCCAAGAAUCGAUACAUUUCCAUGGGUUUAAAGGAGAAGAAUCAUGUUGCCAAUUUGCUGAAUCCGCUAAUGACAUUUCCUCUUUUACUUACGAAAUAAGAGAGAAAUACUCUGGAAACUACACGAUAGGGAAUGACAAAAAUCAGUAGGAUGAUGAAUAUUAAGCAGGACGCUGAUUAAAUGUUUUAAUUUUAUUUAUGAAAUAAUACGUUUUAGUCACAUUAUUCGACGGAUAAAAUAAAAGCAUAAGUACCAAUAAAAUCACUCCGUUACUUGAUUACACAAAUAUAAGUUUACCGCCGUGCUAUUUUAACCAUGGCGUAAGAAACUAUGAUAAAUAAUGUUUUAAGAAAGGGAACGUUUCAGUCGCCAUUUUCAUAUUUUGACUCUUUUUUUUUUAGACUUGUUGCCGAUUAGAAUUAUUGUGUUCAAUAGAGCUCUACUGUAUAUUUAUCAACAAUGAUGGAUUUAAGGAGGAAUUCUUAAAGUUAAGGAUUUAAAAUACUAUGAUUUAAGACCCUGUUUUCAUUUCUACACGGAUAUUUUGUCUUUUUAAAAUUAAUUUAGACCCCAAAUAAUGCUGAUACCUUUUCCUGAAUCCUACAGAAUUUUUGUAUACAGCUCCAUUAAUUUAAGUAAUUGCUCCGUCGUUUGUUACCGUGCGAAUAUUUUUGAUUAUUAUCACAUUGUUGCGAAACACAAGUUUGUACAAUUUCUUUUUAGAAUACUCGACUAUAAACAUAAUUGAUUUGAAUGUACUCGCUUGACUUCGUUCAAACACAAAUUUGUCUUGUGCUAAUCAAAAAUAAAGUGCUAUAUUUUUCUAUUCCUCA